GGCAGUUCUUGGCUGAUGCACCUCAGAAUCGGGCUCCCUCCUCUCUGGUUCUGGGUGCGUCACCCGAGAACCUCA
rfam:Myotis davidii contig88912, whole genome shotgun sequence.